rnacentral:rRNA from 1 species
GACGAACGCUGGCGGCGUGCCUAACACAUGCAAGUCGAACGGAAAGGCCCUGCUUUUGUGGGGUGCUCGAGUGGCGAACGGGUGAGUAACACGUGAGUAACCUGUCCUUGACUUUGGGAUAUCUUCAGGAAACUGGGGCUAAUACCGGAUAGGAGCUCCUGCUGCAUGGUGGGGGUUGGAAAGUUUCGGCGGUUGGGGAUGGACUCGCGGCUUAUCAGCUUGAUGGUGGGGUAGUGGCUUACCAAGGCUUUGACGGGUAGCCGGCCUGAGAGGGUGACCGGCCACAUUGGGACUGAGAUACGGCCCAGACUCCUACGGGAGGCAGCGGUGGAGAAUAUUGCACAGUGGGCGGAAGCCUGAUGCGGCAACGCCGCGUGCGGGAUGACGGCCUUCGGGUUGUGAACCGCUGUCGCCUGUGACGAGGCGUGAGUGACGGUAAUGGGUAAAGAAGCACCGGCUAACUACGUG